GGCCAAGGCCCUUGGAAAAGGGCAGCAGAGAGGGGGAGACUCCCGUCCGCCUGGCGGAGCGAGUUGCGUGUCGACGAGUCGAGUUGUUUGGGAUUGCAGCUCAAAUUGGGUGGUAAAUUCCAUCUAAGGCUAAAUAUUGGUGGGAGACCGAUAGCGUACAAGUACCGUGAGGGAAAGAUGCAAAGAACUUUGAAAAGAGAGUUAAAAAGUACCUGAAAUUGCUGAAAGGGAAGCGAAGGAAACCAGUGUCGUG
rnacentral:rRNA from 1 species